ACGAACGCUGGCGGCAUGCCUAACCCAUGCAAGUCGAACGAGACCUUCGGGUCUAGUGGCGCACGGGUGCGUAACGCGUGGGAACCUGCCCUUAGGUUCGGAAUAACUCCCCGAAAGGGGUGCUAAUACCGGAUAAUGUCUUCGGACCAAAGAUUUAUCGCCUUUGGAUGGGCCCGCGUUGGAUUAGCUAGUUGGUAGGGCAAAAGCCUACCAAGGCGACGAUCCAUAGCUGGUCUGAGAGGAUGAUCAGCCACACUGGGACUGAGACACGGCCCAGACUCCUACGGGAGGCAGCAGUGGGGAAUAUUGGACAAUGGGCGAAAGCCUGAUCCAGCAAUGCCGCGUGAGUGAUGAAGGCCUUAGGGUUGUAAAGCUCUUUUACCCGGGAUGAUAAUGACAGUACCGGGAGAAUAAGCUCCGGCUAACUCCGUG
rnacentral:rRNA from 1 species